UACGUAGGUGGCGAGCGUUAUCCGGAAUGAUUGGGCGUAAAGGGAGCGUAGACGGCUAAUCAAGUCAAAAGUGAAAACCCAGGGCUCAACCUUGGGACUGCUUUUGAAACUGAGUAGCUAGAGUGCAGGAGAGGUAAGCGGAAUUCCUAGUGUAGCGGUGAAAUGCGUAGAUAUUAGGAGGAACACCAGUGGCGAAGGCGGCCGCCUGGCCUGUUACUGACGCUGAGGCACGAAAGCGUGGGGAGCAAAUAGG
rnacentral:rRNA from 1 species